rnacentral:rRNA from 1 species
CCUACGGGGGGCAGCAGUGGGGAAUAUUGGACAAUGGGGGGAACCCUGAUCCAGCCAUGCCGCGUGUGUGAAGAAGGCCCUCGGGUUGUAAAGCACUUUCAGUGAGGAAGAACGCCUGGUGGUUAAUACCCAUCAGGAAAGACAUCACUCACAGAAGAAGCACCGGCUAACUCCGUGCCAGCAGCCGCGGUAAUACGGAGGGUGCGAGCGUUAAUCGGAAUUACUGGGCGUAAAGCGCGCGUAGGUGGCUUGAUAAGCCGGUUGUGAAAGCCCCGGGCUCAACCUGGGAACGGCAUCCGGAACUGUCAAGCUAGAGUGCAGGAGAGGAAGGUAGAAUUCCCGGUGUAGCGGUGAAAUGCGUAGAGAUCGGGAGGAAUACCAGUGGCGAAGGCGGCCUUCUGGACUGACACUGACACAGAGGUGCGAAAGCGUGGGUAGCAAACAGGAUUAGAUACCCCAGUAGUC